UACGGGGGGUGCUAACGUUGUCCGGAAUUACUGGGCGUAAAGAGCAUGUAGGUGGUUUUGUAAGUCUGUGAUGAAAGACCGACGCUUAACGUCGGAACCGUUGCAGAUACUGCAUAACUGGAGGAAAACAGGGGUAAGCGGAACUUUCGGUGUAGGAGUGAAAUCCGUAGAUAUCGAAAGGAACACCAAUGGCGAAGGCAGCUUACUGGGUUUUACCUGACACUGAGAUGCGAAAGCGUGGGGAGCAAAC
rnacentral:rRNA from 1 species